rnacentral:rRNA from 1 species
AGGACGAGCGCUGGCGGCGUGCUUAACACAUGCAAGUCGAACGGAAAGGCCCUUCGGGGUACUCGAGUGGCGAACGGGUGAGUAACACGUGGGUGAUCUGCCCUGCACUUUGGGAUAAGCCUGGGAAACUGGGUCUAAUACCGAAUAGGACCACGGCAUGCAUGUGCUGUGGUGGAAAGCUUUUGCGGUGUGGGAUGGGCCCGCGGCCUAUCAGCUUGUUGGUGGGGUGAUGGCCUACCAAGGCGACGACGGGUAGCCGGCCUGAGAGGGUGUCCGGCCACACUGGGACUGAGAUACGGCCCAGACUCCUACGGGAGGCAGCAGUGGGGAAUAUUGCACAAUGGGCGCAAGCCUGAUGCAGCGACGCCGCGUGGGGAUGACGGCCUUCGGUUGUAACCCUUUCAGUAGGGACGAAGCGCGAAGUGACGGUACCUACAGAAGAAGCACCGGCCAACUACGUGCCAGCAGCCGC